rnacentral:rRNA from 1 species
GAUGAACGCUGGCGGCGUGCCUAAUACAUGCAAGUCGAGCGAACAGACGAGGAGCUUGCUCCUCUGACGUUAGCGGCGGACGGGUGAGUAACACGUGGAUAACCUACCUAUAAGACUGGGAUAACUUCGGGAAACCGGAGCUAAUACCGGAUAAUAUAUUGAACCGCAUGGUUCAAUAGUGAAAGACGGUUUUGCUGUCACUUAUAGAUUGAUCCGCGCCGCAUUAGCUAGUUGGUAAGGUAACGGCUUACCAAGGCGACGAUGCGUAGCCGACCUGAGAGGGUGAUCAGCCACACUGGAACUGAGACACGGUCCAGACUCCUACGGGAGGCAGCAGUAGGGAAUCUUCCGCAAUGGGCGAAAGCCUGACGGAGCAACGCCGCGUGAGUGAUGAAGGUCUUCGGAUCGUAAAACUCUGUUAUUAGGGAAGAACAAAUGUGUAAGUAACUAUGCACGUCUUGACGGUACCUACUCAGAAAGCCACGGCUAACUACGUG